rnacentral:misc_RNA from 1 species
GAAAUGCGAUAAGUAAUGUGAAUUGCAGAAUUCAGUGAAUCAUCGAAUCUUUGAACGCACCUUGCGCUCCUUGGUAUUCCUUGGAGCAUGCCUGUUUGAGUAUCAUGAAAUCUUCAAAGUAAAUCUUUUGUUAACUCAAUUGGUUUCUACUUUGGUAUUGGAGGUCUUUGCAGCUUCACACCUGCUCCUCUUUGUUCAUUAGCUCGAUCUCAGUGUUAUGCUUGGUUCCACUCGGCGUGAUAAGUUAUCUAUCGCUGAGGACACUGUAAAAGGUGGCCAAGGUAAAUGCAGAUGAACCGCUUCUAAUAGUCCAUUGACUGGACAAUACUUUUAUGAUCUGAUCUCAAAUCAGGUAGGACUACCCGCUGAACUUAAGC